CCAGAGGCCGGUUCUUGUGCUGCCUACCCGUUCAGGGGAAGCGGUCCACUUGUUGUAAGCCUCCAUCCGGCGCCUUCCAAUGGGCGCAGGAGGACAACGGAGCACCCCCCGCGCUCCACCGAGCCUUCGUCGGUCGCGUGGCCCGCGGGGACGUGCGACGCUCUCGGACCCAGCGAACGCCGUGGGCGGGGACUCACGUCCCAGUCCCGAUAGGAGCUCCGGUAUUAUAAUGCAUGACGGCCGCUCCCGCCCCCCGACCGCCCCGGCGGCGCGAGGGCGAGGAGCGGCGUCGCGGAGGAAUGCUACCUGGUGAUCCUGCCARUACUCAUAUGCGUGUCUCAAAGAUUA
rnacentral:misc_RNA from 1 species